GUUUCCUUUGGCUUCUGACCUGCACUCACGGAUGAGUCCACAAUAAGAAUAGCCGCUGCUUUUCUUGUUAUUGUCUUCACAGAAGGAUUUGUGUGCUGUGAGAGAGUGCUCAGGUCCAGGACUGUGGAUAUCUGUCCACAUGUGUUUGGCACAUGACUUCAGUGUCUUCUGCUUGGUCAGCCACUGCAUCAGAUUCCCGGUACCAUAA
rnacentral:lncRNA from 1 species